UGAGAGGGGCUGAGGGUGCGCGGCUGAAGGGACAAGGUUAAGGGCAUGAAGGAGACCCCAGCUUUGGGAAGGGUGAUGUGCGGCAGGAAAGGGCGAUAUUUAAAGCGGCAGGGGAAGCCCUGGGAGCGUGUGCACGCCUGUGUGGCACGGCACUCGGGGCUGUGGAGGAGCUGAAGGAGGCUGCUGACAGAGCAGGGCCCAGGGACAGAUGGAGCCCAGCCGCCCCUCCAGGUGGCCGAACAGCAGGGACCACUCGUGCUGCUGCUCAUAAUCCCCCGUGGCCCUUCUGGCCCAGAAAGGCAGCCCUCUGCGCGUGCAGGAGGGCAGGAGGAGAGCAGGAAAACAGGAUCAAGGGAUGAAGUGUAGAUAGCAGGACGACUCCGAGUCCUCCCCAUCUCCAUGUGGCCUGGAAGGGAGGGCAGCAGGAACCAAUGUCCUUGGUGUGAGGCAGACAAGAUCUGUGAGACGCCAGAGGUGUCCCUCCUGCUCUUGGUGAACUCUCCUGAAUCUUGCUGUGGGAAUUGCCUUUGGAAAGGCUGGGCUGUCUCCAUGCAUUCCCUGCACCACUCAUCCAUGUUCCAAUACUUCCAUCUCCCUUCAUCUCCCUUCCCUUCAAUCUCUGGCACCGUGCUCCUCCUGCUCCAGCCUGGGCAGAGGUCAGGACACUGUGUACAGUAGUGCCCAGACCUGAUUUUGGAAAUGCCCCUUUAAAACCUGACUCUCACGAAGUCCCCCUGGCCAUGGGGAUGGCUGGGGGCACUUUGACUGCCUGAAGAAUUCCCAGGAUGUUUUCAGUUGUUUAUUUUCAGUUUGGGCAGCCAGGCCAUUUGCAUGCAGCCUGUGAAGGACGUGUGUGCUGGGCAGGACACGUGUGAUGCUCCUCCUGAGCUGUGCAGCCACUGCUGGCCCUGUCCUGCACACUCAGCACUCCAGGCAUGCAAAUAAAGGGUGUGUGGCUUUCAUGCAGAUGCUGCAGCUUUAAAUAUGAGCUGCACAGGGAAAUUGCAUGAAAAACACCUUUUCAGGCUAGAAGCCUGUGUGGAUUAAAGGCAGCGUCACCUCAGCAGCAAGGGCAGAGCUCUGCUUGAGUGGAGAAUUCCUGGUUUGGCUGGGAAGGGACCUUGAGGAUGAUCCCAUUCCACCCCUGCCAUGGGCAGAGGGGCCCAACCCUCAGAGCAGCUCCGUGCUGGGCUGGACUGGCAGCUCCCAGUGCCAGGUGACAAAUCCCACACGGCUCCACAGCCCUGGAACAUGGACCUUCCACACCAAUCCCCUCACCAGGAAGGUUCUUCAGGCUUGGAAAAGUUUCCUGCCUCUGCUCCCAAGCCCCUGCUGCCAGAGCAGAGCAGAGUGAAUCAGCUCAGCCUGAGGCUGGGGCAGAGAGGGGAACUCUGAGGAAUUGUCUCACAUCCAAAGCUGGGGUGAGGACAGGGAAGGGACAGCUGGGGUGAGGGUGUGACUGCAGAAAGUGGGCCCAAGGAGCAGAGUGAAAGUGCAGCACAGGCUGCAGCAGAGCUGCUCCAGUUACAGCUGAGCCAGAGGGUGCCUGACGGUGGAAUUAAAAGUUGCCUGGAAAUGCUGAAGGAUGAAACUCAAUCUGUCAUCUAAUUUAAUCACCACGUUGGUAAAGCCCAGCUUUCUGGAAGAGACAACAUAAACACAGGCUCUAGAAGGAGAUUUCUUCCCUUGGGACUCCACAGCAGACCUGGAGACCGGAUUGUGAAAUUCCAUCAUUGCAGGGAAGAAAAAAAUGCCAAUAAUAUCCAAAGCUUGUGCUCAAAGGCCACAAACUGCCAUGAUUUCUCUGCAUCUCUUUCUGCUCUUGCUUUUAAGACACGAGAGCUGGGGGAAAUGACAGCAGCUCUCAGUACUGUGGGGGAGAAUUCCCAUUUAAAUUCUUAUUCAUCUCCCAAAAAUGAGUGAAUUUAAGGAAGGGGCGGGAGGGGGUGAAUGUGCUGCAGUUGCUUGGAAUAGGAAUACAACCCAUUAUACAAAGCAUGGAAAAUAAUGAUAAUCCAAGGGGAAAAAAAAUCUUGGCAGGCCAUGAAAUUCAAAAAAGGCAGAAAACUAGAAAAUCUGAGCAAUGGCAGAAGCAAAAAGACUGAGAGACAGCCCCUUUCCAGACUUUUGAGAGAUAAAACAGCCUUUGGGGAGAGCAGGCAGGUCUGAGGGCCCAGCAAAGGAGGCUGUUGGCAACUGAUCUUAAGUAUUAUCUUGGCAUUUUAAUUUUUGCAGCCAAGAGGAUUUAUCACAGAAAACAGCAGGGCAGCAGACAGGCAGGAAUUAAGGAAAAUUUAGGCCCCCACCUCUGUGAAUUGAUUAUAAUUGGAAGCAUCCACCAGCCAAGGAUCCAGGCAACCAAGCAGCCCAAUUCAGCUAUUUUCAAGGUUUUGGUAAACUGAAUGAAUCCCUAAUAGCAGCACUCAGCUGUGGAGUGGUGUCUGCAUUAAAAACUGCUUUUAAGGGGAAGAAAACAAACUCUGAAGGAAUCAAAGCCCCCCUUGUCCAAUCCACUCCCAAAUUAUCCGAUGUGAAGGUUUGUGGCAGCUGGGAAAGCGAAGGGCAUGAAAUGCCACACCAAGUAGGUGAUAAAGGAACGAGUGCUGAAGACAGCUAUAAAUAGAGGUGUUCAGUGCCAGCAUCAGGCACUGAACAGGGAAUGGUACAGGCACAGCAAGCUUGGGAAAAGGCUCCUGGAGAAGGAGAGGGGAAGAUGACAGGAGAGUCGUGAAGAUCAGAGAGCUCCGUGGCAAUUAACUCGUGUCAGGGACAGAUGAAGGCGCUGGCGACAGACAAGGGAACCCUCAGGACAUCAGGAUGCCACGUGAAAGGGGGGACGUGGUGGCUGGGGAGCCUGAAUGACUCAAGGAGCCUUUCCCAAAUUAAAGCCAGUCCCCAAAGGUCGUUACACACCAUAAUGAGACACCCAGUGCAGUCUCUGCUCAGGAGCAAAUCCUCUGCUCCUCAGCUGGCCCAGGCUCAAGCCCUGUGAGCCACAGACUCGCUGAGGGCACGUGGGAGAAUCUCCCACCCUCCCAGCAAAGAAUUUCCUCUUAAUAAACAAUCUAAAUGUACCCUCCUUCA